CCCACGUAUAGCCCCACCCCCGUGACGAGUCGCACCACCCCCGCUGGCUCCUGCAGACUCUGACCAGUCCCGGAUUCCGCAGUACACGCAACUCCGGCCUCCCACUGGCUGGGCCGCCGCCAUGGACCCGCCCCCAAGAGACGGAGGCUUAAAAGUGCCGGCACCCCAAUUAGGAACUCGCGGCACAGGUUCCCAGUGGCUCACCCUCCAGUUCUCCCUGCCUGACAGGAGGAGGCAGUUCAGUCGAGAUUUAAGAUAAAUCUGCAAAAGGUGAGGCGACUAGGGCACAGGAAGUGAAGGAGCUACUCCAAGGUCACAUGCCUUUUGACGCAAUCAAGGAUUUGAACCCAGGCCUUCUGGCACUGGAU